AUUUGAAAUCUGGCCCUCGGGUCCGAGUUGUAAUUUGUAGAGGAUGCUUUUGGUGCAGUGCCUUCCGAGUUCCUUGGAACAGGACGCCUUAGAGGGUGAGAGCCCCGUACGGUUGGACACUAAGCCUCUGUAAAGCUCCUUCGACGAGUCGAGUAGUUUGGGAAUGCUGCUCUAAAUGGGAGGUAAAUUUCUUCUAAAGCUAAAUACCGGCCAGAGACCGAUAGCGCACAAGUAGAGUGAUCGAAAGAUGAAAAGUACUUUGAAAAGAGGGUUAAAUAGCACGUGAAAUUGUUGAAAGGGAAGCGUUUAUGACCAGACCUUUGUCGGGCGGAUCAUCCGGUGUUCUUCACCGGUGCACUUCGCCCGGCUCAGGCCAGCAUCGAUUUCUGUAGGGGGAUAAAGGCCAUGGGAACGUAGCUCUCUCCGGGGAGUGUUAUAGCCCUAGGCGUAAUACCUUUACGGGGAUCGAGGUUCGCGCUUCUGCAAGGAUGCUGGCGUAAUGGUCAUCAACGACCCGUCUUGAAACACGGACCAAGGAGUCGAACAUUUAUGCGAGUGUUUGGGUGUUAAACCCUCACGCGUAAUGAAAGUGAACGGAGGUGAGAGCCCGUACGGGUGCAUCAUCGACCGAUCCUGAUGUCUUCGGAUGGAUUUGAGUAAGAGCAUAACUGUUCGGACCCGAAAGAUGGUGAACUAUGCGUGGAUAGGGUGAAGCCAGAGGAAACUCUGGUGGAGGCUCGCAGCGGUUCUGACG
rnacentral:rRNA from 1 species